UAACCCUACGGGACGCAGCAGUGGGGAAUAUUGCACAAUGGGGGAAACCCUGAUGCAGCGACGCCGCGUGAGUGAAGAAGUAUCUCGGUACGUAAAGCUCUAUCAGCAGGGAAGAAAAAAAGUCUUUGGCUUUGGACGGUACCUGACUAAGAAGCCCCGGCUAACUACGUGCCAGCAGCCGCGGUAAUACGUAGGGGGCAAGCGUUAUCCGGAUUUACUGGGUGUAAAGGGAGCGUAGACGGCGAUGCAAGUCUGAAGUGAAAGCCCGGGGCUCAACCCCGGGACUGCUUUGGAAACUGUAUGGC
rnacentral:rRNA from 1 species